UUUUUUUUGUUGGCUCUGUUAAAGCACUUUAUUCUGUUUAAUAACCAAGGUUAGUUAGUUAGAUUUGGGGCAAGUUCCUCUAAAUAUAAACUAUGUCUGAAUGUUAAUACCUGCCUAAAUCUAAUAAAUACUUUUCUGAAGUUCAUAUUGU